rnacentral:rRNA from 1 species
UACGGAGGGUGCGAGCGUUGUCCGGAAUCACUGGGCGUAAAGGGCGCGUAGGCGGCUUUUCAAGCGUGCGGUGAAAGCUCGGGGCUUAACUCCGAGUCUGCCGUGCGAACUGGGAGGCUUGAGUCUGGUAGAGGUCGAUGGAAUUCCGGGUGUAGCGGUGGAAUGCGUAGAGAUCCGGAAGAACACCGGUGGCGAAGGCGGUCGACUGGGCCAGAACUGACGCUGAGGCGCGACAGCGUGGGGAGCAAACAGG